rnacentral:rRNA from 1 species
GAUGAACGCUGGCGGCGUGCCUAAUACAUGCAAGUCGAGCGAACAGACGAGGAGCUUGCUCCUCUGACGUUAGCGGCGGACGGGUGAGUAACACGUGGAUAACCUACCUAUAAGACUGGGAUAACUUCGGGAAACCGGAGCUAAUACCGGAUAAUAUAUUUAACCGCAUUGUUCAAUAGUGAAAGACGGUUUUGCUGUCACUUAUAGAUUGAUCCGCGCCGCAUUAGCUAGUUGGUAAGGUAACGGCUUACCAAGGCAACGAUGCGUAGCCGACCUGAGAGGGUGAUCGGCCACACUGGAACUGAGACACGGUCCAGACUCCUACGGGAGGCAGCAGUAGGGAAUCUUCCGCAAUGGGCGAAAGCCUGACGGAGCAACGCCGCGUGAGUGAUGAAGGUCUUCGGAUCGUAAAACUCUGUUAUUAGGGAAGAACAAAUGUGUAAGUAACUAUGCACGUCUUGACGGUACCUAAUCAGAAAGCCACGGCUAACUACGUG